UACGUAGGGGGCAAGCGUUGUCCGGAUUUACUGGGCGUAAAAGGUUCGUAGGUGGCUCGCCCAGUCGAGCGUGAAAUCUCCCGGCUCAACUGGGAGAGGUCGUUCGAUACUAGCGGGCUCGAGGUCGGUAGAGGGAAGCGGAAUUCCGGGUGUAGUGGUGGAAUACGUAGAUAUCCGGAGGAACACCAGUGGCGAAGGCGGCUUCCUGGACCGAUUCUGACACUGAGGAACGAAAGCGUGGGGAGCGAUCCGG
rnacentral:rRNA from 1 species